AAAUAAAGUAUUGUGCUUCUUUUGUGCUUAGGAUCAGUUUUUGCAUAGAGGGGCUUCCAAAGGAUCCUUUUUCUGGCUGUUGGGGAAGCCUUAACGUCACCACUGAGACCACUGCAGGAUGUUUGAUCUGUAGCUUCUCCCUGCACUGCAGUUACUGGGGGAUCUGUGAAAACAGCUUUGCUGUCUUGAGCAAGAGGGAGACAAAUCAGAAUCGUUAUAUGCUGACUGGACAAGCUGGAAAGUCCUGGGAUUUGAGAGUGGAUCAUUUGAAAAUGUACAGGACAGCAACUGACAGCAGAUUAGUAAUUUGGACACCACGUGUUAAUUGUUUCAGCAAGACAAAUCUUUCUGUUCAGCAACUAAAAAUAUUUGGAUGUGCCUUGAUUGUAAAAUUCUAACAUACAUGAGAUUGUGAUGUGUGUCAAAUCAAUCCAGAAAACUUCUUCAUUGGAUAAAAGUGCAAUUAAUGUUUUGUGUUCUAAUGAUAGAAAAGAAAAUCUUUUAGAAUAAAUCCUCUGAAAUAUCUGCA
rnacentral:lncRNA from 1 species